GAUGAACGCUGGCGGCGUGCCUAAUACAUGCAAGUCGAGCGAACAGAUAAGGAGCUUGCUUCUCUGAUGUUAGCGGCGGACGGGUGAGUAACACGUGGGUAACCUACCUAUAAGACUGGGAUAACUCCGGGAAACCGGGGCUAAUACCGGAUAAUAUUUUGAACCGCAUGGUUCAAUAGUGAAAGACGGUUUCGGCUGUCACUUAUAGAUGGACCCGCGCCGUAUUAGCUAGUUGGUAAGGUAACGGCUUACCAAGGCGACGAUACGUAGCCGACCCGAGAGGGUGAUCGGCCACACUGGAACUGAGACACGGUCCAGACUCCUACGGGAGGCAGCAGUAGGGAAUCUUCCGCAAUGGGCGAAAGCCUGACGGAGCAACGCCGCGUGAGUGAUGAAGGUCUUCGGAUCGUAAAACCCUGUUGUUAGGGAAGAACAAAUUUGUUAGUAACUGAACAAGUCUUGACGGUACCUAACCAGAAAGCCACGGCUAACUACGUGCCAGCAGCCGCCGUAA
rnacentral:rRNA from 1 species